rnacentral:lncRNA from 1 species
AAAAAAUUAGGCCUAAUUAGUCUUUCGCUCUUGUUCAAAUACUACCACACAAAACAUAUCAAAGAAACAAUGGUUCUUACAGAUGCUGAGCUUCUUGAGCUUCAGGCUGAAAUAGAUCGUCUCCAUGAAGCAUUGGCGAAAUAUGAAAAACAGGAGAAGGUGAAAGUCUUUUACAUUUUGAUAUAUAUAUUUCCAUUGUUUUGUGUGUACGAAAUAUAUAAUCAGAUUUUGUUUUGUAUAUAAAAUAAUUAGGAUUGGGAAAACCAUGAGACUGAGCAUAGCGAGGAGCUUCUAGCUGAGAUGCUUAGUAUCGAAGUAGCAAAAUCAAUAAUUGAAGAACAUUUGACGGUAAUAUAUAAAUAUAUAUCCAUUUAAAUGAUGAUCUUUAUUAAUUAUAACAAUGCAUCUAAUUUAUAUAUAUAUAUAUAUAUAUAUAUGUGUGUUUCUUUUGGAGUGAAUAAUUGGAUUAUUGAAAUAUAUUAGGAAUUGAAGAAGAUAAAAUGCAAAGCUAUUGCGGAGGUCGCGAUGCAUCAUCCUCUUCUAAAGAAAGAAACAAAUUAAAGCUUGAUGGGAUCAUGACAAAAGAAAAGAGAAAAAUUAAUUAGUAGUAACUUUCAUAUUAUCGUGGUUUAUUAUCAACCUUAAAAAAAAAAAUUUGAAAUAAUUUAGUUUAGGUCUUAUUGGAACAAUGAAUAUGUGGAGUAUCUUUGUUCUCAAAAUUUGUAGGAUUCUCAUAUAUAAUCAAUUAAUAAAGUAUUAAUCUUGAAU